rnacentral:snoRNA from 1 species
UGAUGGAAGCAACCAACUCUUGUGCGCGAGGGCGCGUGGCCCCGUGAACGCGCUUGCGUGA